rnacentral:misc_RNA from 1 species
GUCGUUGAAAAAUGAAGUAAACAGUUACAGAAUUUGUAUAUAAAUACACAUAACAAGAAGAAGUAAAUAAAUACCUUGAAUACAUCGAACACAAUAAUGAAGCUACUCGGAAGAAACGCAUGUAAAACACGGACUUUUGCAUUACCUGUGGCUGUAAUCAUCUGCCUUUGUCUAGCUGAAAUUGCUGGUCAGUCUAUUUGCGCUAAAGAUCUUGAACCAGUGCCGGUUAACGAAGAUUUAAGGGAAGGUUUGAUCUACAAAGAUGGUAAUGCCAUUAUGUGCACUGAUGGAACAUGCAAGAAACUAUCGCUUGAAAAUCUCAAAAACGCCUAUCCGGACUCGUUUUCGACAGAAGAAGAUGCGGUGGAAACUACAGAAUUGAGGUAUAAUGAAUAUGUUAAAGAGCUCCCGACAGCAUGUACCUCGACAAAACAAGAUACAAGUACUCGAUUUAUCAGUCCUACCUGUCCAAGUUUCUCGAGCUACUUUUUCUGGAGUGACCGUGAUAAAUGUUGUCCUACAUGGCGAUAUGUUACAUUUACACGAGGACCACUCACAAACAUCUACAGAAAGCAAUGCUACAUUCUUCAAAUACCGCAUAUGAAAUUGUACCAGUAUAUCUCCGUCGGAAUUUGCGGAUGGCCAAGGAACUGCAGAACAUGUAAACAACAAUUCACAAUACAGUCCCUGUUAGCAUGGUGUCCAGGAAACGGAGGGGUAAAGAUGCAUCAUUUCAAAAUUCCGACUCAUUGCUCUUGUCAAUGAAGAAGAUAAAAAUAAGAGACAAAACUUUUUAUUUUCACACGUUUUGCUCAUCGGAUUCAACUGUGAAAAGGGCUGUUUACCAAGAAGAUACUGACUGAAUGGUGACAAUGCAAAUCUUGAUCAAACUCCACGGAUAAGCAGGCUGAUCAUUAUUUUCACUGGUCGUAAAGGUUGAAUCAAUCGUGUCCAGUAUGGUAAGGGUUACCUACUUAACUAAAUGACCUACACGGUCAGUCAGUUACUCUGUGUGCAAAACUAAUCUGACAUGAUCAUUGCCAGCUUUCAUAGCCAAAUUGCCGGCUUAUUGAUGAAAUUGUCUCCCUUGAAAAUACGCUAUGAACAAUAACAUUUACUGUAAUUCUACGUGAGAAAGAAAUAAAGAUUAAAUUUUCCGCGUCGGAAGGAAGAAAAUAUCAAUGUAAAGAUAUAGAUAUAUGUACAUAUUUGUUUUCGUUUUAUGUAUAUACUUGCAAAAUGUGAUAUUGUCUGAAGGAAUAUUUUUGUAAUGUUUAUGGGUUCAGCUUGAUGAUAAAUUGUACCAAAUUCU